AGAGUUUGAUCCUGGCUCAGGACGAACGCUGGCGGCGUGCCUAAUACAUGCAAGUAGAACGCUGAAGAGAGGAGCUUGCUCUUCUUGGAUGAGUUGCGAACGGGUGAGUAACGCGUAGGUAACCUGCCUUGUAGCGGGGGAUAACUAUUGGAAACGAUAGCUAAUACCGCAUAACAAUGGAUGACACAUGUCAUUUAUUUGAAAGGGGCAAUUGCUCCACUACAAGAUGGACCUGCGUUGUAUUAGCUAGUUGGUGGGGUAACGGCUCACCAAGGCGACGAUACAUAGCCGACCUGAGAGGGUGAUCGGCCACACUGGGACUGAGACACGGCCCAGACUCCUACGGGAGGCAGCAGUAGGGAAUCUUCGGCAAUGGACGGAAGUCUGACCGAGCAACGCCGCGUGAGUGAAGAAGGUUUUCGGAUCGUAAAGCUCUGUUGUAAGAGAAGAACGAGUGUGAGAGUGGAAAGUUCACACUGUGACGGUAUCUUACCAGAAAGGGACGGCUAACUACGUGCCAGCAGCCGCGGUAAUACGUAGGUCCCGAGCGUUGUCCGGAUUUAUUGGGCGUAAAGCGAGCGCAGGCGGUUAGAUAAGCCUGAAGUUAAAGGCUGUGGCUUAACCAUAGUACGCUUUGGAAACUGUUUAACUUGAGUGCAGAAGGGGAGAGUGGAAUUCCAUGUGUAGCGGUGAAAUGCGUAGAUAUAUGGAGGAACACCGGUGGCGAAAGCGGCUCUCUGGUCUGUAACUGACGCUGAGGCUCGAAAGCGUGGGGAGCAAACAAGAUUAGAUACCCUGGUAGUCCACGCCGUAAAC
rnacentral:rRNA from 1 species